GUUCAAAUUGAUUGACGGACGUAGCUCCAGUUUACUCCUGAACGCUCCUGGACAGUUUUCCGGCUUAUCGGCGGCGUCAUGCGCGUGUAGCGUCGGACAGCCGAGCAACAGAAGUCAGUGCAUCAGCAGUUUCUAUAGGUGACGAGAGAAAGAAGCUGCUGCAGUGUGACAUUGUGGAGCAUUAGGAGAAUUGAGAUGUCCUUAAUGAUGGCGGUGGAAAUUGAUUUCCAGGACAAGUGGAGGACGGGCACAAAGGAGAAAUGAAAUAAGAGAGAUGAGAUGCACCGGUGGCUUGGCUGAAGCUGAAAGAAAUCGAGCCAAGAAAAUUUGCUACUCCCCGAGGAGAGAACACCACCUGUGUCUGCUCCUCAUUGCCUCAAUCCCCUGUGGGCUGAAGCCUUUUCCAAACACAGGCCAGCAAAAUGCAAACAGACUAAUGAGGGAUUUAUCUACUUCUCUCCUUUUGACUCAUACAACCCAGCUCCGCUCCUGCCCUGUAUUAGCAUAGUUUUUGUCCACACUGAGAUCAUAAUCCAUUUGUAUGUCCUUGAAUGUAGCACAGGAUAACAGUGAAGUCUUUUCUGUCAACAGCCCUGAAAUCACCCCAGUGUUCAGUAAUCCAAUUAAAAUGAUUCUUCCUUCCCUUAGUGCUGCCAUCCGAUCAGCGAUGCAGGGGGGUUGUUAAGCAUGUAUUACUCACUGUGGGUGGUUUGUCACAAGGAGACAGCAACACCCCAUCACAAGAAAUAUUAUACUGUGCCUUCAUUACCCUCUGGACCAAUAACAUUCUCCACAGCUAGUAAGAGGAAUACUUUUGGUUUGGCACAAAUAAUCUUUUUGCUGGGGCCAGACGCCCAAAUUGCUCACAGUGACAUGUUCUUCUUGUAGCUUACAUUUCUGUCACCAUCCCAAGGAAAUUUGCAGUCGCAGUUAAUUUUUCAAGAAAACAUCAAUUACGAGCUUUAAUGGAAAGCCCAUAUGGGCAUCCUGAGAGGGGAUGAGGAAUUCUCUCCACAAUCAUCCUAAAUAUCUUUGUGCUCUUUAUCCACUCCCAUUUUCUCUGUUUCUCUUUCCCUCCCUCCUCAUUUUUCACUUUUCAGAGAUCCAUUCUGUCUAAUUGGAGCUGAUGAGGACGGGGACUUCAUUAACGGCUUGCUAUGAAUUAUUAUGCAGUGUAAUUGGCCCUCCAGUCCCAUAGGAGGUGCCCUGCUCCAGCUGGUCCAACUGGAGGAGGCUCCUCUGGCCCAGGUGUAAGCUUUUGUACAGCUGAGGUCUGACUUUAUCCCAGCAGCUGUUCCAUUUGUCUCCAUGUCAGAAAGUCCAUCAGAUUCUGACUUGAAUGUUUCCAUGUAUUGUUGAAUUAAAUGGGUUUUCAACAGAUACUUUAGAAUUGCCCAUAUUUAUAGUCUAUUUGUAAAAAUAAUCAUUGAAAUCUUUUUGUUCCAUAAUCACGAGUUAAUUAACAUGUGUUAAUGAAUUUUGAGAUGCUAAUUGAGAGCCAGUGUUUACACCACAAUAAGCAAUGCAUUCAGGCAGAUGAAAAGAGCUCCUGACUGAUGUAUGGCUGGCUGCUGCUGCACGGCCCAUCGCUCCUUAAAAUGUACAUUUAAUAAAUCAUGUCGCCCUG
ensembl:lncRNA